UACGUAGGGUGCAAGCGUUGUCCGGAAUUAUUGGGCGUAAAGAGCGUGUAGGCGGCCCGACAAGUCCGCUGUGAAAGUCCAGGGCUCAACCCUGGAAUGCCGGUGGAUACUGUCGGGCUAGAGUCCGGAAGGGGCGAGUGGAAUUCCUGGUGUAGCGGUGGAAUGCGCAGAUAUCAGGAGGAACACCAAUAGCGAAGGCAGCUCGCUGGGACGUUACUGACACUAAGGCGCGAAAGCGUGGGGAGCGAACAGG
rnacentral:rRNA from 1 species